UUUCCAUUUCUGUGUUAUGUCUAUCUAUGUCUAUCACCUAGGCUCCUAUAGGGUUUACUUGACAAGAAUUUCAAGUAGUCUACCAAAAGGAAGAGAGCUUCACUUUUUGAUCAUCUUUGACGGAAAGCAGGUUUUGAGGAAGACAACAGAUUUCUUCUUUAGCCCCAGAGAGACAAUAAAAAGCAGCAUAUAGAUCAACAGGAGGGGGAAAUCCAAGUAGGAAUAUUAUUUCUGGAGCCAAUUAUACCAUGCUGAGGAAUCAACUAGAAUCUUGCAACAAAUUCCCUUCAUCAUCAUCAUCAUCAUCAUCAUCAUUCCUAUGAGCAACAGGGAUCAUUUUUCAAGGCUCCAUCGCCCACAGUGGAAUCUGAAUUGCAACAAACAAAAUGCUGCAACACUUUGAAGAUGAAAGUGAAUAUAACUGUUGCCAACAGCACAAUGAAAAAAGGAGGAAGUAAGACAUGGGCUACAUGCUGGUGUCUGACAAUAGCACACGUAUGAUAUUCAGG